rnacentral:rRNA from 1 species
GACGAACGCUGGCGGCGUGCUUAACACAUGCAAGUCGAGCGGUAAGGCCCUUUCGGGGGUACGACGAGCGGCGAACGGGUGAGUAACACGUGGGUGACCUGCCCUCAGCUCUGGGAUAAGCCUGGGAAACCGGGUUUAAUACUGGAUAUGACUCCAUGACGCAUGUUGUGGGGUGGAAAGCCUUGUGCGGCUGAGGAUGGGCCCGCGGCCUAUCAGCUUGUUGGUGGGGUGAUGGCCUACCAAGGCGACGACGGGUAGCCGGCCUGAGAGGGCGACCGGCCACACUGGGACUGAGACACGGCCCAGACUCCUACGGGAGGCAGCAGUGGGGAAUCUUGCGCAAUGGGCGAAAGCCUGACGCAGCGACGCCGCGUGAGGGAUGACGGCCUGGUU